CUGUCCUACGGGAGGCAGCAGUAGGGAAUUUUCGUCAAUGGGCGCAAGCCUGAACGAGCAAUGCCGCGUGAACGAGGAAGGUCUUCGGAUCGUAAAGUUCUGUUGAAGGGGAAAAAGAGCGGAGAGAGGAAAUGAACUCCGAUUGAUAUUACCCUUCGAGGAAGUCACGGCUAACUACGUGCCAGCAGCCGCGGUAAUACGUAGGUGGCGAGCGUUAUCCGGAAUGAUUGGGCGUAAAGGGAGCGUAGGUGGCAGGGCAAGUCAGAUGUGAAAACCCGGGGCUCAACUCCGGGAGUGCAUUUGAA
rnacentral:rRNA from 1 species